rnacentral:lncRNA from 12 species
UUUCCAUCCCCCAGGUAGACCAUCUAGGUCCUGUGCCUUUCUUCAUGUAUGUACAGAGGUUCCUGGAAACACAGCAAGAAAAGACAUGCAUUCUAAAACCUCUAAGGACCAUCAUGUAAGGCUUUGGAAUAUUUGUCAUGGAGAAUACUGGGUUUGAAUUGGUUGGCCA